GAUGAACGCUGGCGGCGUGCCUAAUACAUGCAAGUCGAGCGAACGGACGAGAAGCUUGCUUCUCUGAUGUUAGCGGCGGACGGGUGAGUAACACGUGGAUAACCUACCUAUAAGACUGGGAUAACUUCGGGAAACCGGAGCUAAUACCGGAUGAUAUUUUGAACCGCAUGGUUCAAAAGUGAAAGACGGUCUUGCUGUCACUUAUAGAUGGAUCCGCGCUGCAUUAGCUAGUUGGUAAGGUAACGGCCUACCAAGGCAACGAUGCGUAGCCGACCUGAGAGGGUGAUCGGCCACACUGGAACUGAGACACGGUCCAGACUCCUACGGGAGGCAGCAGUAGGGAAUCUUCCGCAAUGGGCGAAAGCCUGACGGAGCAACGCCGCGUGAGUGAUGAAGGUCUUCGGAUCGUAAAACUCUGUUAUUAGGGAAGAACAGAUGUGUAAGUAACUGUGCACAUCUUGACGGUACCUAAUCAGAAAGCCACGGCUAACUACGUG
rnacentral:rRNA from 1 species